GAUGAAGAACGCAGCGAAAUGCGAUACUUGGUGUGAAUUGCAGAAUCCCGUGAACCAUCGAGUCUUUGAACGCAAGUUGCGCCUCAAGCCAUUAGGUUGAGGGCACGUCUGCCUGGGCGUCACAUAUCGUUGCCUGAUGCCAGUUUCCUCGUGAUGGGUGACUGUGCAGGGCGAAUGAUGGCUUCCCGUGAGCAUUGUUGCCUCAUGGUUGGUUGAAAAUUGAGUCCUUGGUAGGGAGCGCCGUGAUAGAUGGUGGUUGAGUGACGAACGAGACCCAAUCAUGUGAGACCCCUACCGAAUUUGGCCUUCAUGACCCACAUGCGUAUUUGGAACGCUCAUGACGAGACCUCAGGUCAGGCGGGGCUACCCGCUGAGUUUAAGCAUAUCAAUAAGCGGAGGA
rnacentral:misc_RNA from 1 species